UACGGGAGGCAGCAGUGGGGAAUAUUGCACAAUGGGCGCAAGCCUGAUGCAGCCAUGCCGCGUGCAUGAAAAAGGGCCUUCGGGUUGUAAAGUACUUUCAGUCGUGAGGAAGGUGUUAAGGUUAAUAACCUUAGCAAUUGACGUUAGCGACAGAAGAAGCACCGGCUAACUCCGUGCCAGCAGCCGCGGUAAUACGGAGGGUGCGAGCGUUAAUCGGAAUUACUGGGCGUAAAGGGCACGCAGGCGGUUAAUUAAGUUGGAUGUGAAAUCCCCGGGCUUAACCUGGGAAUGGCAUUCAAGACUGGUUAGCUAGAGUCUUGUAGAGGGGGUUAGAAUUCCAUGUGUAGCGGUGAAAUGCGUAGAGAUGUGGAGGAAUACCGGUGGCGAAGGCGGCCCCUGGGACAAAGACUGACGCUCAUGUGCGAAAGCGUGGGGAAGCAAACAGGAUUAGAUACC
rnacentral:rRNA from 1 species